GCCGACCGGCGUCAGUCCGUGGGCUUCCGCGGAAUCCCGGAGGUGGCUUAGCUGUUUUACGUCCCGGUUUUGUGCCGUUGGCGGUCUUCUCUCCAGACUCCCUGGGCCUUGCCUCCGACUUCACCAUGUACCACAACAGUAGCCAGAAGCGGCACUGGACUUUUGCUAGUGAGGAGCAGCUGGCGCGAUUGCGGGCCGACGCCAACCGCAAAUUCAAAUGCAAAGCUGUGGCGAACGGGAAGGUUCUUCCAAAUGACCCAGUCUUUCUUGAGCCUUCUGAAGAAAUGACGCUGUGCAAGUAUUAUGAGAAAAGAUUAUUGGAAUUCUGUUCGGUGUUUAAGCCAGCAAUGCCAAGGUCUGUUGUGGGUACAGCUUGUAUGUAUUUCAAGCGCUUUUAUCUUAAUAACUCAGUAAUGGAAUAUCACCCCCGGAUAAUAAUGCUCACUUGUGCAUUUUUGGCCUGCAAAGUGGAUGAAUUCAAUGUGUCUAGUCCACAGUUUGUUGGAAAUCUGCGGGAGAGUCCUCUUGGACAAGAGAAGGCACUCGAACAGAUUUUGGAAUAUGAACUACUUCUUAUACAGCAACUUAAUUUCCACCUUAUUGUCCACAAUCCUUAUAGACCCUUUGAGGGCUUUCUCAUUGAUUUAAAGACUCGCUAUCCCAUGUUGGAGAAUCCAGAGAUCUUGAGGAAAACAGCUGAUGACUUUCUUAAUAGAGUUGCACUGACGGAUGCUCACCUUUUAUACACACCUUCCCAGAUUGCUCUGACUGCCAUUUUAUCUAGUGCAUCCAGAGCAGGAAUUACUAUGGAAAGUUAUUUAUCAGAAAGUCUGAUGCUAAAAGAGAACAGAACUUGCUUGUCACAGUUACUAGAUAUAAUGAAAAGCAUGAGGAACUUGGUAAAAAAAUAUGAACCACCCAGACCUGAAGAAGUCGCUGUUCUGAAACAGAAGUUGGAGAGAUGUCACUCUGCUGAGCUUGCACUUAACAUAAUUACGAAAAAGAGGAAAGGUUAUGAAGAUGAUGAUUAUGUCUCAAAGAAAUCCAAACAUGAGGUAUGUUCUCCAAAGGAAGAAUGGACUGACGAUGACCUGGUAGAUUCCCUCUAAACAUCUGAAAUUGAUUUGUCAAUGCUAACUAAUCAACAGAAGGAUGAAGCAUAUCUGGCAUUUAACUUCAAAAAUGAAGUCACUAAAGUUUGGCGUCAGAGCAUGGUCCACAUUUACCUCUGAAAAUUUUCCUACCCUUUAAAAAAAUGUUUAGAGGUUUCAUUUCAUCAUUGACCACCUAAGUUACUCCAAGGCCUACAAAGGUAAAUGACAAGUAAGUUUCCUAUUCCAGCUUAAGAAAUAAUAAGCAUGUCAUUAAGAUAAAAAAAAGCAGAGUGUCUUUAGGUUUGUGGGUUUUUUUAGAAAUAAAAGGCAGGAGAAGCAAUUCAGAUUGAGAAAUGGCAGGUCAGUAUGGUUAAAAAACUGAGAUGUGAGUAGUGGGAGAGAACAAAUUGCUGAGCACUAGAAUCGACCUUUUUGCAUAUUGUUGAAAUGUUUUUGGAGAUGUCCAUAUCCCUUCUAGUCUAUCCUGGAAGGAGACCAAAUGGCAUACUAUUGUCUAACUAACUAACUGAAAAGCAGAGGGGAAAAGAUGGAAUUAGGUUGACAUCAAGAAAAAGGAGCACCUGGUGUGUUUGUUAGUGUUUUGCUAUCACUGUUCAACUGUGAUCGCAGCUACUUCAGGUCUAGCUACCUCUAUACAAAUAACAGCAUUUAAUACUUUUGCAGCUGAGGGUUCACAAAAUUUCUGCAUAGUAUAGUUUUAACACUUGAAUGCUUAAAAUACAGGAAGAAACAAAGUGUUGCUCUUAGAACCUAGGCCUUUAGAAAAUUUUUUUUUUUUACUGGGGAAAUGCUUUUCCCAGUACAUCCCCGUCUGGCUCUCUGUAUGCCUUCUCUCCCCUGCACAGUUUUAUGGGAGGGAAUGAAUCGUUAACAAAUACAUAAUGGAAUCCUUCAAAAGAGACCAU